rnacentral:rRNA from 1 species
CGAAGGGGCGUAGCGUUGCUCGGAAUGACUGGGCGUAAAGGGACGCGUAGGCGGAUGGGUUUGUCGGGCGGUGAAAUUCCUGGGCUCAACCUGGGGGCGUGCGUUCGAGACGGCUUGUCUUGAGUGGGGAAGAGGGUCGUGGAAUUCCCAGUGUAGAGGUGAAAUUCGUAGAUAUUGGGAAGAACGCCGGUGGCGAAGGCGGCGACCUGGUCCUUGACUGACGCUGAGGCGCGAAAGCGUGGGGAGCAAACAGGAUU